GUGAGGACAUGGAAGAGUCAGUGCCUGGAGGAGCUGCCUACAAGAAACAUCAAGGAGAUAUGGAACCCUUGUAAUGUAAUGACAACAAGGAAUAGAGUGCACUUCGCUCACUUUCUGCCUGGUCUGCUGAGGCCUGCCCUUCCUGUUUAUGGGCUCAGUGAUUCCACAAAGAUGAACAGAUUUGUACACAAGGGCUACAAACACUCCUCAGUGGAUGAGACAAAACUCUCCAAAGAAGGGACCUAAAUGACUUCAUUGCUGACCACCACAGGGAUGGACUCAGAAGAACUGGAAUUGAAAACUACUCUGACCAUCCUGGGUGAAGUCAUGCAACUUGGUUUUUUUUUUAAAUGUUAAAUUCAUGGCCAAUGGCCAUGGUAUUUGAGUGCCUGCAGACAUCUCUUUGACACCUAUUACUGAACAUCUGGGCAACAGUAUCCCUCUCUGUCCCAAGCUGCUCUAGGAUAGAUUGGUUUUGAAAUGCCAUUCCUGAACUGUUAGAAGGGAAAUUGGUGUCUGAGGGCCUAAGCAAUCCCUCACCCACUGUACAUGAUGCUUCUUGA